rnacentral:lncRNA from 1 species
UAAGAUUAAAAAAAGUUGGUAACAAAAGCAUCAAAAUGACCCUGCACAUUGAAUCAUGAACUAAGUAUUUUGUUUUCAAAUAAACGUACAUUAAGUUGGUUGAACCGAGACAACAUUUCUAAAGUUGGACAAUGACUACUUUGGCUUUUAAAAUUACCCUUCCAUUCCUUGUCCAUAUCUAUAUACUAUACCAAUAAAAUCCCCUCUCUUCUCCAUCUACCCUUCAUUACUUCUCUUUCUUUCUUCUCUUAUAAACCUCUCUCUAGCAUUCAUAGCCAUAGUCACCCAC